rnacentral:rRNA from 1 species
UACGUAGGGUGCGAGCGUUGUCCGGAAUUAUUGGGCGUAAAGAGCUUGUAGGCGGUUUGUCGCGUCUGCUGUGAAAAUCCGGGGCUCAACCCGGACUUGCAGUGGGUACGGCAGACUAGAGUGUGGUAGGGGAGACUGGAAUUCCUGGUGUAGCGGUGAAAUGCGCAGAUAUCAGGAGGAACACCGAUGGCGAAGGCAGGUCUCUGGGCCACUACUGACGUGAGAAGCGAAAGCAUGGGAGCGAACAGGAU